AAGCAGAGACAAAUGUGUUUA
rnacentral:miRNA from 1 species